CCGCGCCUGGUCGCCUCGUUCCGUUCGAUUCCAGAAAGCCGCGCCGGCCCCAGUCCCCAUGGGCUGAAGGCAGGUUGAGUUCUUCCCCAGGUCUGCGAGCCUCGAAGGCUUCUUUCAGACAGCAGACCCCUUAGAAGCGCAAGGCUGCUUUCUGACAAAGAAUCAAGUGUUCCUUUCAACCAGCCAAGGGACUGGUUUUCUCGCUGACCCUUUGACAGCUCCAGCCGGUCCCUCCAUUCGAGGUCCCUGACUUCCUGCAACAGACUGAGAUGGCCUUCUGAGCUUUUCCAGGGCUGACGACCACCUUCUUGAUACCUUCCCCUCUCUCGUUCUGAAUCCGUGCCCACCAGACGGACUCUGGCUCUUGUUGCCCAGACUGGGGUGCAAUGGCGCAAUCUUGGCUCACCAUAACCUCCGCCUCCUGGGUUCAAGCGAUUCUCCUGCGUCAGCCUCCCAAGUAGGUGGGAUUACAGGCAUGCGCCACCUCGCCUGGCUAAUUUUGUAUUUUUAGUAGAGACCGGGUUUCUCCACGUUCAUCAGGCUGGUCUCAAAUUCCUUCACCUCCCAAAGUGCUGGGAUUACAGGUGUGAGCCACUGUGCACAGCCUAAUGCAGAUUUUAUAAACAAUAACCUUGUCCAUUAAAGCAAACCUGCAGACUCGAGGUCUGAUAAACCUGGAGGUUGGAUAAUUCAAGUGUAGCACAGUCAUGCCAUGGAAUAUUACACACCAGAGAAAAGAAGACACGACGCCAUUUUUAGAAAGCUCAAAACAAGUGAAACCAAACGAUAUCGUGUAUAGCAGGGGUCCUCAACCCCUGGACCACAGACUGGUACUGGCUAGUGGCCCAUUAGGAACCAGGCCGCACAGCAGGAGGUGAGUCGUGGGUGAGCAAGCGAAACUUCACCUGUAUUUACAACUGCUCCCCAUGGCUCACAGUACUGCCUGAGCUCCGCCUCCUGUCAGAUCAGCGGCAGCAUUAGAGUCUCAUAGGAGCACAAACCCUGCUGUGAACUAUGCAUGUGAGGGAUCUAGGUUGCACACUCCUUAUGAGAAUCUAAUGCCUGUCUCUUAUCACCCCCAGAUGGGGCCGUCUAGUUGCAGGAAAACAAGCUCAGGGCUCCCACUGAUUCUACAUGAUGGGAAUCCAGGCUUUCGGAGAUGAGGACUGGGAGGUCUCCAGACCACACAAGCCCCCUAUUUGCACUGGCCUUUGGAAUGAGCCUACAGCCUGCCUCCACUCCUCCUGGUACCCCAGCUGUUCUCAAGGAAUUGGCCAGAAGUCAGACUCCUUUCCCAGCUGUCCUCCACUUCUUUCCUGCCAGGCACCCUAGGCCCCAUGGUGGGAUUGGGCCUAUAGGCUGUGAUUUUCCACAUCCUUGUCAAACCUGUACUACCUGAAUGCCUAGAGGAAAAGAUACUGCCUUAAUUACUAUUAUGAGCACGAAUGCCUUCUUACUCUUGAAUUUAGCUGAGUGCUGCCUGCAGGUAAAGUCACCUGGAGAACCAUCCAGGGACUUUGUCCUCAUAGGAUCACUUGUACCUCUCUAGGGUUGCUGUGGCAGCUGCCAGAGUGGCCCGGGCCAUGGAUGAGGGCCAGGAUAUGGAAAGCAGAGGCAGAAAUGAGCCCAGAGGCCACAGGGCCCAGCUCUCAGGCUCCCACGGUGAAGCCCAGAGGGUUCCUUCUCUCUCCUGCUUCAGGCUGACAAUGUUUGUCAGCCUCUGCUCCCAACCCCUAUACCCAGCAACCUCUGCGCCCAAGCACAUGGUCUGAAGAAUAUUCUGGUGUUGGGCCCCUGUAGGUGGCCUGCCGUGACGGUGGAAGCCUGGAACGUAGUGACAUGGAUUCAUCAUUGGGAUGUUUCAUCCUAAGGAAACGCACUCGCAGGUGGCUGUAGACCUUGGGGACUCCAGCCUCGUUCAUUUAAGCUCCCACAAUGUUCCAGGCCCUAUGCGGCUUGCAAGGGGCAGAGAGACACAGAAUGACAGCCGACAUGGCACUCUAUUGGUGCACUGGCACUGUUUUUUUUUUUGAGAUGGAGUCUUGCUCUGUCACCCAGGCUGGAGUGCAGUGGCAUGAUGGAGAUGCAACCUCUACCUCAUGGGUUCAAGCGAUUCUCCUGCCUCA
rnacentral:lncRNA from 10 species